CUGUGGGUAGAAAACUAUUACAUUCGAAAAUAUUUGAACUUUAAACACUUGAAGCAAAGUGCAUCAAGACAAUCGAUCGAAGUGCAUCGAAUGCAAUUGAAUGAUUAAUACGGACGUAUAGAAUUUCCGCAGUUGAAUGUUGCAAUGUUGCUGUCGUGAAUAGGCAGGUGCGCAAAGGAAGUCACUACGUCCGUGGUGAAUCAGCAUAUGUUCUGUCAAAUCAAUGAGGACGUUAUCUACUAAGACACUUAAAUCAAUGACGUCGUUAUCGAUAUACGACUGCUGUGCAUCUCAAAAGAUUCAGGGACGACUCAAACUCGCCCAAGUUUCGUUUGCCUUUUAAGUGAAUCUUUUGAGAACCAACACCGCACUCGAAUCAAUCCGAUAUACUUAUUAGCUGUUUGGUUAGAGUGUCUGUAAAAAGUUAUUGGCCAACUAAAAACAGUUAAUAGUUGUAUAGGAUUGAAAGACUUUUCUAGCUAGGACCCCGGUUAGGACGCUGAAAUCAUUUUCCGUUCGUUAUUAUGGACGAUGAUCGAGAAUUUUACGCUACAUUUUGUGUCACGUUUCUAUUUGGAGUCUUUCUUGUCGUAGUCGCUCUUCUGUUGUACGUGUGCAAGAAAAACUGGCAAAGAAAAACUGUACGAAACCAACAAAUGGCGACAUACAGUCAAGUCGAUUUUUACAAACUGAUGUAGCCCAAUCGGGGAAAGUAAUCCACGUACUCACCGUUGUACCUCAUUAUUGACAAACAGACGCCGAUGCUAACGACACAAGUCACAGCAAUGCUUCUACCUCGUCACUAACACCUUCCCGUCAGCACAGGCCUGCUAACAUUCUAAUCAUCGCUCAAACAGAGGACGACCAGCCCCCUGGUUACACUCCGCCGCCAGCUUACGACAUGGCUUGGUUUGAUUUUUAAGGCAAAUGCGUGCAUAAAAAUACAUGCAACUCUUGAUUUUCAAUCUGAAUUUUUGGGUGUAAGAUAAAACAAAAAACCCGACUGAUAACAAACGCGGCGACUGCUGGUCAAGCAGAUUAAAUGAUUGCGAGAAGGAAAUCCCCCUCUCCCCGACUUAAUUCCCGAAUUGUUGCAGCACUGAAAUGUGGCAAUUGUUUUCGUUCCACAAAUCCGUAUGUAUAUACGUGAGUGGGUAUUAACAACACAUGACGUCGGUCAAAAUUGAAGAUGGCCAAUGCCAACACACUAUUAUCGAAUGUAGACCAUUGAUAAAGACUAAGCCAAUUUUGACGUGCGCAACAGAGGCUAUAAAUUGACUUGUUAUAAUAUAUAGCGUCCCCUGAACUCGCCAUUCAGUCUGAAUUGUAAGCUCAGCUAAAAAGCUCAAAUUAUCACUGUUGAAUUGAAUAUUAUCCAGUCUAUAAUUUCGGCCAUGAGUCCCGUUGUUGAGAUUGUAUUGUUUUUGUUCCUCGUGUUUUUCUCCAUGUCUGCUGGUGUCGGUUUGGUCUUUUUCAUCUAUUCCAAAAACAAUUGCGCCAACAGUAAAGAUGGAAACCAGCCAAUGCCAACACCUUCGUCAAACACGUCGUUUGUUAAUGACGGAAGUCACGCCGCCUCGACGACCUCCAGGUCUCUUACCAUUCUAAUCGUGGCACAAGCCGAGAGCGAUCCUCCGCCGUAUACUCCUCCGCCCACCUACGACAUCAAGUGGUUUGAAGACAAUUGAAUUUCGGUCGCUGUGUAAAUAUUAUAUUCAAUCGACGUGUUUUAUAGUAUACAAUUUUUUAUUUUUU
rnacentral:lncRNA from 1 species